rnacentral:lncRNA from 1 species
CCCCCCCCCCCCCCCCCCCCCCCCCAGCCCCUCUCCCCCCGCCCCUGCUCCCUUCGCCCUCCUCCUCCCCGCUGCCGGAUAAAAGCCCGAACGUGUGAACCGCGGGGCACAAAGGGGAGGCACAAAGGCAGCCGGGGCUGCUCAGCCCUCCCUCAGCCCCAGCACCGAGAGGGGACCCCCAGGGACCCCCGGGCACCCCCCUGCCCGCAGCACCCAGAGCCCAGGAGCUGCCAUGGGGCACAAGGGUGGCCCUGAGAUCAGGGGAUCCCCAUAAACUCAGGAUAAUUUCCCUGGGGUUCAGGGAUCCCCAGAAGGGCCAGGAUAAUUUCCCUGGGGUUCAGGGAUCCCCAGAAAGGUCAGGAUAAUGUCCCUGGGGUUCAGGGAUGCCCUGUAGGGUCAGGAUGAGGUUCCAGGGUUUGAGGAUGCCCCAUAGAGUUGGAUGAUGCCCCUGGAACCAGGGGAAGCCCCAUAAACUCAGGAUAAAACCCCUGGGACUCAGGGAUACCCUAUAGGGUCAGGAUGAUACCACUGGAGUUUGAGGAUACCCCAUAAACUCAGGAUUAAGUCCCCAGGGUCCAGGGAUCCCCUGUAGGGUCAGGGUGAUGUCCCUGGGGCUCAGGGAUGCCCUGUAGGGUCAGGAUGAUGCCUCUGGAGUUUGGGGAUACCCCAUAAACUCAGGAUUAAGCCCCUGGGGUCCAGAGAUCCCCAGAAGGGUCAGGAUGAGGAUCUUGGGACCAGAGCAAGCUCUACCCCACAGCCCUCAGCAAGAGAAGAAAAACCUGACGACUCUGAGUUCAACCCCCCCUCCGAACGCUGCCACGCCUUGGGGUGCUGCACCCCAAAUCCCGGCACCAGCUUUGCUUCUAGCCCCCAGUGGUUUGACCCGGACAAAGCCGAGGCAGUAUUAUCCCAAAACCAGGGGGGAUGCUGGGGCUGGAGCGGGACCCUGGGCCCCUCGGCCCCGUCCCCAGGCCGCCGACAGCUGGUGGGAAGCGGCUUUCCCAGCACAUAGCGACAAAUUCCUGGCGGUCGGGGCUGCUUUGCAGCCGCCGCGGCCCCGGCGGGGGGAAGCUGCCCUGGAAAGAGGAGGAUUAAAAGCUCUUCGGCUCCAGUGACACAUCGCAAAGCGGUCCCCACGCACGGCCACCUGCUCCGAGAUGCUGCGGGCACCCCGGCCCCCCCCCCCCCCCCCCCCCCCCCCCCCCCCCCCCCCCCCCCCCCCCCCCCCCCCCCCCCCCCCCCCCCCCCCCCCCCCCCCCCCCCCCCCCCCCCCCCCCCCCCCCCC